AGCAGCCGCGGUAAUUCCAGCUCCAAUAGCGUAUAUUUAAGUUGUUGCAGUUAAAAAGCUCGUAGUUGGAUUUUGGUUAAGAGGGCGCGGUCGGCCGUUUGGUCUGUACUGCGUUGUCUUGACUUCCUGAUGAGGACAUGCUCUUGGUUAACGCUGAGACAUGGAGUCAUCGUGGUUACUUUGAAAAAAUUAGAGUGCUCAAAGCAGGCUAUUACGCCUGAAUAUUCGUGCAUGGAAUAAUAGAAUAGGAAGUCGUUUCUAUUUUGUUGGUUUUCGGAAAUCGACUUAAUGAUUAAUAGGGACAGUCGGGGGCAUUUGUAUUCAAACGACAGAGGUGAAAUUCUUGGACCGUUUGAAGACAAACUACUGCGAAAGCAUUUGCCAAGAAUGUUUUCAUUAAUCAAGAACGAAAGUUAAAGGUUCGAAGGCGAUUAGAUACCGCCCUAGUUUUAACCAUAAACGAUGCCAGCUAGCGAUCUGCGGACGUUUUUUUUGUAGACUCCGCAGGAAGCUUUCGGGAAACCAAAGCAUUUGGGUUCCAGGGGAAGUAUGGUUGCAAAGCUGAAACUUAAAGGAAUUGACGGAAGGGCACCACCAGGAGUGGAGCCUGUGGCUUAAUUUGACUCAACACGGGAAAUCUCACCAGGCCCGGACACUGGAAGGAUUGACAGAUUGAUAGCUCUUUCUUGAUUCGGUGGGUGGUGGUGCAUGGCCGUUCUUAGUUGGUGGAGUGAUUUGUCUGGUUAAUUCCGAUAACGAACGAGACUCUGUCCUGCUAAAUAGUGUCUGCUUCUCUUUUGAGCAGACAAUUCUUCUUAGAGGGACUGGCGACUCUUAGUCGCACGAGAUUGAGCAAUAACAGGUCUGUGAUGCC
rnacentral:rRNA from 1 species